AUUGAACGCUGGCGGAAUGCUUUACACACGCAAGUCGAACGGCAGCACGGGAGCUUGCUCCUGGUGGCGAGUGGCGAACGGGUGAGUAAUAUAUCGGAACGUAUCCAAUAAUGGGGGAUAACUAGUCGAAAGAUUAGCUAAUACCGCAUACGCCCUGAGGGGGAAAGCUGGGGAUCUUCGGACCUAGCGUUAGUGGAGCGGCCGAUAUCUGAUUAGCUAGUAGGUGAGGUAAAAGCUCACCUAGUCGACGAUCAGUAGCUGGUCUGAGAGGACGACCAGCCACACUGGAACUGAGACACGGUCCAGACUCCUACGGGAGGCAGCAGUGGGGAAUUUUGGACAAUGGGGGCAACCCUGAUCCAGCCAUUCCGCGUGAGUGAAGAAGGCCUUCGGGUUGUAAAGCUCUUUCGCAAGGGAAGAAAACUUAACCUCUAACAUAGGUUGAGGCUGACGGUACCUUGAUAAGAAGCACCGGCUAACUACGUGCCAGCCGCCGCAGUAA
rnacentral:rRNA from 1 species